rnacentral:snRNA from 1 species
GCUCACUUAGGCAGCACAUACUAAAAUUGAACCAAUACAGAGAUUAGCGUGGUCCCGAACAAGCAUAACAUACAAAUUUGUGAUGCGCUCCAUAUUUUU